rnacentral:rRNA from 1 species
AUUGAACGCUGGCGGCAUGCCUUACACAUGCAAGUCGAACGGUAACAGGUCUUCGGAUGCUGACGAGUGGCGAACGGGUGAGUAAUACAUCGGAACGUGCCUAGUAGUGGGGGAUAACUACUCGAAAGAGUGGCUAAUACCGCAUGAGAUCUACGGAUGAAAGCAGGGGAUCGCAAGACCUUGUGCUACUAGAGCGGCCGAUGGCAGAUUAGGUAGUUGGUGGGAUAAAAGCUUACCAAGCCGACGAUCUGUAGCUGGUCUGAGAGGACGAUCAGCCACACUGGGACUGAGACACGGCCCAGACUCCUACGGGAGGCAGCAGUGGGGAAUUUUGGACAAUGGGCGAAAGCCUGAUCCAGCAAUGCCGCGUGCAGGAUGAAGGCCUUCGGGUUGUAAACUGCUUUUGUACGGAACGAAAAGACCUGGGUUAAUGCCCUGGGGUCAUGACGGUACCGUAAGAAUAAGCACCGGCUAACUACGUGCCAGCCGCCGCAGUAA